GAACAUAACAUAAACUACCUUCAUAAGUAGUUUUUACUGUUAUUGUUGAAAACCGCGGUUAAACUAUUAUCUACGAUUUAAGAUCGUGUUUUUAAAUUUAUUCAUUGAAAUUUAUUUUACAAAGUGUUGAAUUAACCAAGUGGUUAACGUGCACUCUAAUUGUACAAUUUCGUCAAUUUGAAUACCUAAUUUCAAUUUUGUAAUUUCGUCAACUAACCUUCACCAUGAUUUUAUUUUGACAUAUUGGUGAUAAACUAGUUACAACAGUAAUUAUUCCACAGUUAUCGUGUGCAAAAAAUGGACUCAGCUAUGUCACCGCCCAAACUUAGCAUACAUGGAUCCAGGAGUAUGUUAUCUUGCUUAUAGAUUGUACUCUGUUCACUUUGAUCCAACAAAUACAAACAAACGCCUUAUAUAUAAAGCUAAGCCGUCAAUAUUUAAUUGGUCUAAUUCAAGUAAAAUUGAUAUUAAAAGUAAUUUAAUAGUUGAACCCAUGGGAAUUAAAAAAUGCUCUAGUCAGAUUAAAGAAUACACAAACAUUAUGAAUAAUCCAAGGAGAUGUAAGAAAUUUGAAAACAAUAAUAAACAUAGUAGCUUCAUCACUAAGCAUAAGACUUUUUAUGACAGUCAACAGUUAUCAAAUAAGCAGUUUUUUAUAAAAACUAAAAUGGAAAACAUAACUAAUACUGAUAUUAAAGUGAAGAACAGUAUACAUUUAAUUGAUCAUAACUACUAUACUCCACCUGUUACAAAUAGCAAUAAUAUUAAAAGUAGGAUUAAUAAACAUCUGUCAGAGCAUAAUUACUUUUCACACGUUACAAAUAUUCAGUAUGAUAAAAAAAAGAAUAACCAACAUUUGUUAGAACAUAACUAUUUUUUAGCGGUUUUUAACUUAAAAACAAAAAAAGAAAUCUUACAUUCAGAAAAUACAGAUGAUAUUAACGAAGAAGAAAAUGUUGUUUCUGAUAAAUACAAAGUACCUGUUUCAUAUUCCAUAUUGCCAGGUGUUCGGCUGAACUCACAAGUUUAUAUGGAUAACUUACACCACAGAUAUUAUAAACAUUCAAGUAGGAACAAUGUAAUAUAUUUAGUAUGUGAAAAUCAAAAGAAUAAAACAGAAUUUUGUCCAGUAAUGGCAUCUAUAAGUGUAGAUAUGAACAACAAUAGAAUAAAAACAACUGGGCAACAUAAUCACCUUCCUCGACAAGUAGACAUUUCUAUGGUAAAUUUAAGAAGAACGAUUUGUUUACAAGCAACAAGAUCUGGAUCACUGUCCAUACCAAUUAAGCAGUUAUACAAUCAAGCAAUAAUCACAAAUCCAGAAGGUGCAAAAAAUUAUACUUUAUCACAAUCACAAUUGAGUGUAAGAAGAAUGCGUCGUCGACGUCGUCGUCAAGCGGCUUCAAUUAUUUAAUAUGCCUCAGGUUUUCACGAGUCAGGGUUAAUAAGACUCAUAAACUAUCACAAUUUACCUUCAGAGUAUCACAAUCUUUAUUUUGUAAUUUCAUGUGUAACUCAAAUCGCUUAGUUUGAGUAUAUUUUUGUGUAAAUUAAAAGUACUAAAAUGAUAUUUGUAUAGUUAUGACCUUUGACUGUAAUUAUGAAUGAUGAAAUAAAAACCAAUGGACAGAAUAUAAAGAAAGCAAUAAGAUUACAGUAUCCUGAUUACUUUUGACAUUUACAAAACAAGAAAUAAUUAUCAUUUAUUCACGUGGUUUAAGAAAAUGAAGUUUUAUGCAAGAAAAAUGAAUAUUAUCUAACAUUGUUUUGCAGAUCAUGCCUUAUAUUAUUUAAAGCUUUUAUUUCAACUGUUGUAUAGCUGUGUAAGAAACUUAAAAGGGAUUGUUAAAAUAUUGAUUUUGCUGUCAAUCAUUAUUAUUAUGUAAAAAAAAUGUACCCAUCAAUAAAUUUAAUUCACAAAGAUCUCAUGCUUAACAAUUAAUAAAAUAAAACAUUUGUUUCCUGGGAGUUAUCAGCUAUAGAACGUUUGUUUUCCAGUAUUAAUAUAUUAAUUGUAAGAAUUAGUUUGAUCCCAAGUGCUACAACUACUACCAAGUCAUUAUAGUUUAUUAAUUAACUUCUUGACUAUAUAUAUAUAUAUAGUAUUUACACUGAUUAUUUUUUUUAUUAAUAAACGGAAAAAAUUACCAAAUUAUUUUAAA